CCUGGGCGACAAGAGCAAAACUCCGUCUGAAAAAAAAAAAAAAAAAAAAAGAAGUGUCCAGCAAAACUGUUACUGGUGGAAGGUAUCCGAGUUACCGUUGGUGAAUCCGUCUGGAUCUGCAGCAACCUCUUGCCUCCUCAGAAGAAAGAGUUUGACUGAGGGGUAUAAGGCAGAAGGAGAGACUGAGGUAAAUAAAAGCUGAGAAUGAGCCAAAGAAACUCCCGAAGGAUGUACCUCAAGAAGGAAGAUGAUUCCAGAUACCUUAAAGCAAAUGAGAAGACAAGCUAAAUCUGGGAGGAGACAUAUACACAUAUACAUGCAUAAUCAGGAUUGGUAUCAAAAACCCCUAUGAACUAGCAAGAAAAGGAAAAAUGUGCAAAAAAGCCAUGAACCAGCAUUUCACCAAAGAUGAAACAGCUAUGGCCAAAAAUUAUGACAAGAUGCUUAAUUAAGCCCACUGGCUAUUAGGCACGUGGAAGUCAAGACCACAACGAGACAUCAUCUUUCACGCAUUUGAUGGGUAAACAUUAUGAUGUCUGACACUGCUAAAUGUUGGCGAGGACGUGGAUCAACAGGAACUCUCAAAAUUGCUGGCAAAGGAGGGGGCACUGUUUCUAAGAAGAGUGAUGAUACCACCGUAUUUUUGAAAAAUGAUGAAACAGCGUGGGGGAAACUGCUAUGUCUUCCAUAUUCAGGCUUUUUCUUCUCCAAGCCCAUUUCCUCCCUAGCAAUGAUAAGAGGAAACACUCCCGGUGAGUCAGAUGCUCUCUAAAUAUUUUUGCUCAUUGAAUGUUGACACCAGCCCUGUGUUUAGUAUCAUACUGGGAACACGCAUGAGGAGCUGAAGCACAGACAGGUUAAGUGGCUCGCCCAGGGUCAUACAGCUACUCAGUGCUGGAGCCGAGAUCACACCAGGCUCUGCUUCCCCACCAGAACCAUGAGAGGUUGGGAGUGACCCUACUGGACAGGGAUAUCUGAGGUGGGAGGGGCUGUGUGUGUGUUCAUGCUGAGGCCGGCAUGCUUAGAACAUCAACCUCAAUUUUCCUCCCCACAGGGUCUGGCGGGGAGGCAGGGAGCAAGGUCGUUAAGGGUGGGCAGGGUGAGGGGGAGAUUCCCUGACAGCCUGGGUUCUGCCCCUCACUUGCUACAGCCCCAUGCAAGCCUCUUGGCCUCUCUGAGGCUCUGUAUUCUCACCUGUCAAAUGGGGGUUGUCCUGGGUGUUACUUCAAAGGCUGAUGAGAAAGGAGUGAGUGGGCUGGCUCGCAGCCUGGCGUGACAAGCAAUGCAUAAAUGUAUGCCGUAUGAGUCACCUGUCCACAGUGGCCCCAGCAGCUCUCUCUAGCAGGGCUUGGCCAAGACUAGGCCCUCAGAGUGUAAGAAAACUCCUGGUUUGGUGCCUAGCACACUAUAGAUGUGGCAAACUGUGUCCAAGAACGUUUUGAUGGGAGCCUGCCUGGAUGACAGAAGAUCAGAGUGUGCUGGAAUGUCCCACCCUUUCCAGCUUCCCGCAGCCAAGCCAGGCUCUGGGGUGAUCAUUCCCAUAGCAACCACCAGGGGUCAGGGCUGGCCACUUCUGCCUUCUUCCCUCAUCCUAGCGCCUGUGGGUGGCGAUGACAUCCCUGCCAUCUAUGAGGUGGAGCAUUUCCAACAAGAGCAGGUCUGAGGCCCUGGCUUGACUUUCCCAGUCCUGUUAAAGAAGAACAUUGGGAUACCCAACUGUUCUAGCACCAUUUAUUGAAAAGUCAACUCUUCCUUCAAUAUUCAGAAAUGUCACCUCUGUCAUAAACCAGGCAGCCACAUGUGUAUUAGACUGCUGUGUCUUCGUUAUUUCUCCAGAGGUUUGCCAAUUUUACUAAUCUCUUCAAAGAUCCAAUUUUGAUUUUUGUUCAUUUUCUUAAUUGUAUGCUUACUAUUUUAUUAGCUUGUGCUUUGGUCUUCCGUAUACUUUUUUUGGGGGGGGGUUGAAUUUACUAUUCUUUUUCUAAGCUCUUUGAAAUGGAUGAUUAGCUCAUUAAUUUUAAGUCUUUACUCUUUUCUAUUAUAUGCUAUAUAUUUUCCUGUAAGUAUUAACUUUAGAAAAAUUUCCUACCAGCUUUGAUAUAUAUGAUAUUUUCAUUAUUAUUCACUUCAAAAUGUUUUUAGUUUUUAAUUGUAACUUCUCUGUGAUAUAAAGAAGUAUGACUUUAAAUUUUCCACAUUAUGGGGAUUUCCUAGUUUUUUUUUUAUUGAUUUUAGCUUAAUUAUAUUGUGGUCAGAUCAACAUUACAUGAAUUAGAAAUUUAUCAAGAUUUGUUUUAGGCUCAGAAUAUGAGCCAAAUUUGUAAAUGUUCUGCUUGAAACAUGUAUCUUACAACAAUUGUGUGCAGUAUUCUACAUAUGCUCAUUAAGUCUAGUUUAUUAACAGAGUUCUUCAAAUCUUUUAUACCCUUUUGUCUCGUUUUUAAAAUUAAACUGAAAACGGUGUCUUAAAAUCUUCUAUUAUGGCUGUUGAUUCUUCCAUAGUCCUAUUAAGUUUUGCUUAUAUAUUUUGAGAUUAUGUUGUAGGCACAAAUUUAAUAUUGUUAUGUCUUCCUAGGAACUUUUGCUAUCUUUUCCUCUGGUUUUUGCCUUAAAGUUUAUUUUGUCUUUCAUGAAUAUAAAUACUUACAUCUGCCUUUGUGUGUGUGUGUGUGUGUGUGUGUGUGUUUGUUAGAUUCAGGGAGUACAUGUACUUGUUUGCUACAUGGGUAUUACACGUGUAAUGGUGCAAUUGGGCCUCUGGUAUACCCAUCAUUCAAAUAUUGGACACUGUACCCCAUAGGUGAUUUUUCAACUUUCUCUUCACUAGUAUUUUUACCUUAUUACUUUAAACUUUAUUCUUAUGCUUUAAAUGUAUCUCUUCUUUUGUAAACACCAUAAUUCCCCUCCCCCCAUUCCAAAUCAAGUCUGAAAUUCUUUGCCUUUUAACAGGAGCAUUUAGUUCAUUUACAUUUAAUGUAUAUGUAAAUGUAAAUACAGUGUAUACUUUGUAAAUGUUUAGAAUUAAAUCUAUUACUUUAGCUUAUCUGCUUAUUCAUUCUAUUCUUUUUCUCUUCUGUCUGGACUUAAAAAAUGAUCUGCAUAUAUUUUAUCAUUUAAUUUUGUCCCUUAGCUUGUUUGAAAUGACAUACUGUUUCUAUUCCUUUAGUGCAGGGAUUAGAGACCUUUUCUCUGUAAAGGGCCAGAUAAUAUAUAUUUUAUGGUUUGUGGACCACAGUCAGUGGGUUUUUUUAGGGUCUGUGGGCCGAAGUCAGAUUUUUUAUAGCCAUUUAAAAAUCUAGAAACCAUCCUUAGCUUGCAGGCUAUAUAAAAACAGGCUGAAAUCUGUAUUUAGCCCAUGGGCCAUAGUGUGUAACCUCUUCUAGUGUUCACUCUAGAAAUUAUAACAUGCACACUUAACUUAUCAAAGCCUACAAUUAAUGAAAACCUUUACCCCUCUGGACAACACAUUGAUAUUAGAACAUUUUGAGUCUAUUGCCUUCCUAACCCCAAUUCCUAUGUUAUGUUGUCUGGUAUUUACAUUU
rnacentral:lncRNA from 1 species